rnacentral:rRNA from 1 species
UACAGAGGUCCCAAGCGUUGUUCGGAUUCACUGGGCGUAAAGGGUGCGUGGGCGGUCGGGUAAGUCUGAUGUGAAAUCUCACAGCUUAACUGUGAAACUGCAUUGGAUACUAUCCGGCUCGAGGAAUGGAGGGGAGACUGGAAUACUUGGUGUAGCAGUGAAAUGCGUAGAUAUCAAGUGGAACACCAGUGGCGAAGGCGAGUCUCUGGACAUUUCCUGACGCUGAGGCACGAAAGCCAGGGGAGCAAACGGG